UACGUAGGGAGCAAGCGUUGUCCGGAAUUAUUGGGCGUAAAGCGCACGUAGGCGGCUUGGCAAGUCGGAUGUGAAAUCCCUCGGCUCAACCAAGGAAGUGCAUCCGAAACUGCUAAGCUUGAGUACUUAAGAGGAUCGCGGAAUUCCCGGUGUAGAGGUGAAAUUCGUAGAUAUCGGGAGGAACACCAGUGGCGAAGGCGGCGAUCUGGGAAGAUACUGACGCUGAGGUGCGAAAGCGUGGGGAGCAAACAGG
rnacentral:rRNA from 1 species